UUCCCAAUUGUUGCCCGUGUGAAAAGAAAGAAGAGAAAUUGGGCCAUGUUUCCCGAGAGAGACUGCCUUCUCUCAGGCCAGCAGUCUUAUACUUAUAGUCGACUGCUCUAUGACGAUCUGACCUCUUUCCUGGGCUCUGCUUGCUCGUCUAUGCUCCGACCAAUUCAGUCAAAAUGGAAAAAACGAUGUUUCCUUGAAAAAGUCUAA
rnacentral:rRNA from 1 species